rnacentral:misc_RNA from 1 species
AACAAGGCGUACCUGCGGACCUGCGGAGGGAUCAUUACCGAGUUUACAACUCCCAAACCCCUGUGAACAUACCACUUGUUGCCUCGGCGGAUCAGCCCGCUCCCGGUAAAACGGGACGGCCCGCCAGAGGACCCCUAAACUCUGUUUCUAUAUGUAACUUCUGAGUAAAACCAUAAAUAAAUCAAAACUUUUAGCAACGGAUCU